AAAAUUAAAUCAGUUUAAGAGAGAAAGCUUUGAAGAUUUCAUAUGGCUGAAAAUUUGGCAAAGAUGUUGACUAUGAUCUUGGUGGUGACAGCUGUGGCUAUGGAGGCACAACCUGUGGAUUCUGCAUUUGCAAUCCCAAUGUAUCCUUGCACCCUCCCUGAGUGCAUUGCUGGAUGUAAGAAGAUUCUGGGCCAAAAAUUUAUGAGUGCUUCCUGUGUCAAAAAUGGCUCCAAGGGAGCUCUCUGCAUUUGCUUUGGUUGAAAUCUUCAAACAAAAGCUUUGUUCUUUCCAGUAUUAAAUGAGAGGGAGGUAGGGUUUCUAACAACGACAUUAUAAUCCUUAUCACAAAAUAUCAUAUAAUUUCUAUCGUUAUGUUAUAUAUAUAUAUUUUGGAUUCACUCCUUCUCUGGUUAUAUAAUUCAAGUUCUUACUGUUUGAUCCAUUUCUUUCUCCGUAGUUCAAGUUUGUCUGUUGUACUUUUAUGUGUUUGUAUAUCAAUUUCUUUUAUAACGAGGUAGGUUGUGAUUAAAUGAUAUAUUGUAAAUUAUUUUUAUAUUUUUAGUUCAUAUGUUAUAUGAAAAUUAGAGUCGAAAAAACUGCAUUAAACAUAUCUGAUUCGUGUCAACAAUCAAGUUGGUAAAUUGAUUGCAACAAAAAUAUUGUACUGCUUUUAUUAAAUCAUUUGAUGUGAUAAAUAAUUAAAUUUUAUAGUAAAAAUAUCACGUUUAUUUCUAAUUAUGAGAAAAGUUAGACCAAUAUUUCUUUACCAGCCAUACAAUUUUAGGCAUUCUUUGAAAUCGAAUGUUUCUAAAAUUAAUAGUUUGAAAAAUAAUAUUAUUUUAUGUAACAAAUUUACUUUUAAUGGGAAGAAUAUACCUUUUAAUAUAUUCCCUUGAAAAACUUUUAAGAUAUGAUUAUUUAAUGAAUGUUAAUUAAUUUAAAUAAUCACAAUAAAUAUAUUGGUUAGUUCAAAAAAUUAUUAAUAAAUUUUCUAAUAAAUAUAAUUUGCUUACAUAGCUGUUCUGCACACAGUGUGAGAGUUGAAUUUUAACAAGACUUGGUAAGUAAAAUCUUUGAAGAAAAUAAUUAUGCUAUGUUCGUUUAAGCAAAUAGUACAUGCGGAUUGUAGAGAAUGGAAUUGAGAGAUAUUUGAUGUUCGUAUGAACUUAUUUGAAAGUAAUAGCAUGAAAUUAGCGAGAUUGUCAUUCAUUUUCAUCUUGACAUAUUAAAAAGGAUUUGGAAGACUUUAAACACUUUUAUUAUAUUACCCCUGCGCUUAUAAAAUAAUUUGGCGAUGUUUUUUUUCUUUCUUUAAUAAUAAUAAUAAUUAUUAUUAUUAUUAUUUAUUAUUAUUUUAUAUUACUUUUAUAAUUAAAGAUAUUUUGGUAAUCUUUAACUUCUAUCCAUUAAACAAUUAUUUUAUCUAUUAUAUUAGUCAAAUCUUUCAUUAAUUUUUACAAAUUUUACUUUUAAAUUCACUUUCACUCAUAUAUAAAUCUUUUCAAAAAAAUAACAAUCAAUUCACUCUCAAAUUCUUCCAUUUACUUUCUUCCAAAUCAAUCUUCUAAAAUGAACUAAUAAUUAAAGAAAAAAAAUCAUAUCACUUUUGUUGUUGAAAUAAGAGCAUUCUGAUUUCUCCACCACAAAAAAAUAAUCACAAUCAUUUAAUUUAUUGCCAAAGAAAGAAUGAAAAUGAUAGAAAAACCAAAAGACAUUUUAUUGAUGAAAAGAAAAAAGUAAUUAAAAAUAUUGAAAGGAAUAAACUUACAUAUUAUUAAAAACCGAAAGAUUGCAUAAUAGAAUUCGACUUAACCUACGCUUUUUUUUAAUUUAAAAGAAGGAGAAAAAGCCUUUAAAAGUAAAAAAAAUAAAAUAAAAUUUAUAAUAGAAGAUAUAAUUUAAAUUUUAUAUUUACGAAACAUAAAAUAAAUAUAGUAUUUCUUAUGAAAUAAAUAUCUUUUGGAUUGUAUUAAUGAAUGUAACAUAUAAAGUGUUAUAAAUUUAAUAAUCUGUCCAACUAUUUAUGAUAAUUAAUUUCUUUUACGGUUGAAAAAUAUUUCAAAGGAAUUUUUAAAGUAUUGAGAUAUUUCAUUUUUAAUACAAUAAGAAAUAAAUAUAUGUUUAAUCUUUAGUAAUUAUUUUAUUAAAAAUAUUAUAAUAUUCAAUUAUUCUUAAAAAGAGUCUUUCAUCUUUUAGUUAUUUUUUUGUAAAUUUAAAAUAAUUAAUGAUUCCUUUAAGUUUAAUUUGUAUAUUAAUGUUAAUUUUUUCUUUAAUAGAUGUAUGUGACCAUUAUAACUUUUUUAAUUAUACUAAACAUAAUAUAUAUUAAUAUUUAUUAUAUUAAACUUACUAAUUACCUUUAAUAAUAUAUGAGCUAAGACUUUCUCAUCACAGUAAAAUUUUUCAAUAGUAUAACUAAUUGAUUAUGAAUCGAUUAAGUUUUCAUUCUAAUAUUUUAAUUUUAAAAAGUUCAUUGAAAAUGAUAUUUAAGGUUAAUUAAACCAUUCAAAUAUUUUAUUCACACCAAAUUAAAUUAAAAUUAACUUUCAAUUUUAAAUUAAUCUUUAAUUUUAUCUAUCAGUGCAUUGAUUGAUUUUACACCAUUUUUUAAUUCAUAAUUUUUCAAUUCAUUGUAAUAAAAUGGUAAAUAAUUUAGAUCAUAAUUAUAAUAUUUUGAUGUUUCAAUCAUGGUAUAAAAUUUUAUAUUUUUCUUCUAUUUUUCAUUAAUUUUUUUUACAAAUUAUAAAAACAAUAAUAAAAAAAAUUAUUCUUAAUUAUACUCUAUUUGUCACACUCCAUUAAUUCUCUUCUUUAGUGGGAAACAGGUGGUAUGUCCCUUGGAAUAUGAUGACAUGCUUGAAUUCUUGAUGUAUGAGAAUUGUUUAUAUGUUUUAAAUGUAUGAGAAAAUGAUUAAUUAAAUUUACAUAAGCUUACCCUUAUUUCUUGUCUUGUCCAUGUGCGGUUCAGUCUUAACCGUUCGGUUAUUCUCUUCACUACAAUGAUCAUCCUUUUGGGUGUGAGCAGAGGGCAACUUUGAAAAUUCCUUGGAAGAGGCAUUGCAGACUGACUAGACCCUAGAUGCUGCACCAGAGAGUUGUGCAGGACCGUCCGGUUCUUAGUUUAGAUUUGUUUCUUUUUCUAUAUAUAUAUAUAUAUAUAACCGUUCGGUGUUAUGUUUUGUAAAACCUUUCGGUCUAGUUUUCUUUUUGAUGUACUGAUCGAUCUUGAACUAGUGUUAUGACUGUUCGGUCUUAGUUUGUAAAUUGUAAUCAAACAUCUUGUUUAAUGUAUAGUUUUAAUUCUAUAUGAUAUUCCAUAUUUUCCUCCUCUAUCUUGUGCUUAAUUCUUAGUGUUCCUAUUACUAUUCAUAAUAACUCUUAGAAUAAAUUAUAACUUUUGUUAUACAGGGAUCUUACACUAUUUUAUAAAAUUUAUUUACACUGAAAUUAUCUUUUAUUAUGUUAUUUCUCCCUGAAAAAAAAGUUUGAAAUUAAUCUCAAUAUUUUAAUUAGUUACAUUAAAUUACUUUACUUUAUUAUAACUUUUUUUUAUCCCUUUUUCUAAGAAAAUUGUAAAAGAAAAAUAAGUGAGGAGUGUGUUCAGUGUUGGAUGUGUUUACUUUAUUACUUUACUUCUCAAUUAUGUUUAAUUAUUCUUAAGUUGGAUGUGUUUUCCUAGAUUUUUAAAUCUUUAUUGUUGUGUGGUAUCAUAAAAAAAGUUAAAUUGAAUUUAAAUUACAAAAAGUAAAACCACAUUAAAUAUUCUAAAAACAAUAAUCUUACAUUAAAUAAAAUUAACAAAAAUAAGAUAAAAAAAAUAUUUAAAUAUUUAAUUUAUAUAAAUGUGUCAUGUCUAUUAGAUAACUUUAUCUUGAUAAUCAACUCAAUCCAAACUAAUCGAACUUAUAUUAAUCUACUCAUAUAUAAGUUAUGCUACGGAUUUAUCGUGAAUAACUCCAGACUUUUAUAUUUUAUAUUUAUGUUAUAGAUAAAUUUUGAUAUAUUUUCCCUUUUGGUGUUUUAAAUUAGUUUGGAUAACUUAUUAUUACUUCACUUAUUAAUUUAUUUAAAGUCGUUUCUUAAAAAAAAAUUAUGCUAUUUAUUUAAUUAUGUUAACAUUUGAAAAUCACAAUUAUUAUUAAUGAGAAAAGGAAAAAAAUUUCAAAAUUUGAUUCAGUUCACUCGAGUUUAAGAUAAAAAAAAAAAACAUACAAAAGGUUAAACCAAUCAAAUAAUCUUUUAGUGGAUUAAUAAAUGGAUUUGCUUAAAUCCUACCAAAUCCAACUCCUACUAAACAUUGCCUAAAAAAUUGAUUUAAACAAUCUGAGUUAAAUUCAGUUUUAAAGAGAAUCGUAUUAUAUUAAUGAUUUACAUGCCUUGUUAUUGGAAAAUAUUAACACUAGAUGGAUUUCUUAAUGUUGCUUCCUUUGUACGCUACUUAAAACGUCACAAAACCUAUUUUGUUGCUAAUAUAAAAGGACUAGAGAUAGCAUUCAAUGAAAAUCAAUUUACAACCAUAAAUAUAGUUUAAAUAAAAUAACUUAAUAACAUAUGUUUUGGUAAAAGAAUAGGCUAAUAAAUUAACAAAUUUUUUUUGUUAUAAAAACAAUUUUUUAGUAGAAAUUAUUAGAUUUUUUUAUUGAAAAUAAAACAGUUCUGAAAAUUUUUCAUUUUUAUGUAUUAAAAGAGAAGGGUGUAUAUUUUGAAAUCAGAAAAAAAAAACUGUGGUAUAUAAAUCUUUCAAGAUAGGAAAGUGUAAGGAAUAUUUUACACAGUAUUUUUUUAACAAAAAAAUGAAAUAGAAUAAAAUGAACUAUACACGCAUUUUCUAAAAAGGAAGACAGUAUUUCCUUUUUUAACACGGAAUAUGAUAUAACAGAAAAAAAAGUUAGUGUAAGCAGAUUUGGUAACAUUAUUUUUUUAGCAGAAAUUAUCCAAAAUUUAAUGAUUUUGUUAAAUGGAGUAAAAAUUAUAUUUUAUUUGAAUAUGUUAUGAUAAUAGUAUAUAUUUUAACAUAAGAAAGAAAGAUGUUUAAGAACAUUUGGUAUAAGAAAGAAAUUUUAAUCUUGGAAAUAUAAAAGUUUUUAUUAAAUAAAAAUAAUAUUUUAAUAUAAAAUUGAACUCCUUAAAAUUAAAUUAAAGAGAGUUAUUUAUAUAAUAUUUUAAGAAAAAUAGAAUAUUUCUACUUUAUUAACCUCUUGGUAUGGAUUUAAGGAAUAUAUAUUAUGGUCAUUUUUUUAGUGUGGCGUUCAUAGACAGUCAAUGUGGCCUCAAUGCCAUAAUUGCGAGAUUUGGUAUCCAACUAUAAGGGGCGGCGCUUAGGCGCUAGAGUUUUUUUUGUUUUUUUAUUUUUUAUUUCUUUUGACUUUUGUAGUUUCUUUUGGUAUUUUAUGACAUGAUUUGGUAUGUUUUAUGGAAUGUUAUCUUUGAAUGAGGUUGAUAUAUGUUUCAAAGUGUGAUGGAUUAAUAGUUUCUAAGAAAAAGUUUUAACUGUUUGUUUCAAGUUUUGUUUUGAACGUAAGAAGUUCAAUCUUAGGUUAGGAAAAUGAUAUUUUAACACCAAUUUUUGACACUGUACACGUUUUAAAAUGUAGUUUAACGAUUUCAAAUUAAAAAAAACUAAGACAAGAGCAUAUUUGGAAGAGAAAAACCAAAGUUUUUUUUUUUUUUAAUUUGAAAUCGUCCAACCACAUUUUAACAUGUGUGCAGUGUCAAAAUGAUGUCAAAAAAUUAGUGUUAAAAUAUCAUUUUCCCUUAGGUUAACUUGAUACUUUAAUGAUCAAUUAUUCUCAAUAAGAAAAAACUGAUCUAUGUGAUAAGAGUAGAAAGAAAUCUUAGUCUAAAAUGUUCUAAUAAGAUGUAAAAUAAACUAACCUUGUACAUGUGAUAAGAUAAAACUCAUUUGUAAUAAUUUUACGUAACAAUAAAAAUCAAUAUUAAGUAUGAUAAAAGGAUUACUACGUACUAUCAAAUCAAUAUAAUAAUAAAAAAUCUAUUAAGACAUAACACAGAAAAUUAAGGACUGGGAAUCCUACUUCAAGUAACCUAUCCCAUCAAAACGAGCUAUAAAUCAGACAAACCUUUACAAAAACAAAAAACUAACUGUCUUAAUACAAUAGUCCUACUCUCCUUACUGUGUACUAUUUUGGAAAUAUAAUGGCAAUGUGGUUUUCUCAGUGAGUAUUUUUUUUGAGCAAGUUUUUAAAGGUAAGGAAGUACUAAAAAAAACUCUUUUAUUAAAAAAAUGGAAAAGUUCCAUGAGGAACGCAACCUUACUUUUAACACAGAUGGAUACAAAAUUUCUUUGGUCAGUUAUCUAUAUAUUAAAGCAAUUAACAGCAAUGAACUAAUCUUAUAACGCCUAUAAAUAUGAACAAACCAAUGGUUUCUUGCACAUCUGAAUUCAUCAGAUUAAAUCAGUUUAAGAGAGAAAGCUUUGAAGAUUUCAUUAAUGGCUGAAAAAUUGGCAAAGAUGUUGACUGUGAUAUUGGUGGUGACAGCUGUGGCUAUGGAGGUACAACCUGUGGAUUCUGCAUUUGCAAUCCCAAUGGCAAUGAAUCACUGCACCCUCCCUAAGUGCAUUGCUCGAUGCAAGAAGAUUCUGGGCCCCAAAUUUAGGAAAGCUUCCUGUCUCCAAAAUGGCAAGAGCUGCAUUUGCUUUAGUUGAAUUCUUCAUACAAAAGCUUUGUUUUUUCCAGUAUAAAAUAAGAGGGAGCUAGGGUUUCUCACAACAACAUUAAAAUCCUUAUCAAAAAAUAUCAAAUAAUUUCUAUCGUUAUGUUAUAUAUAUAUAUUUUGGAUUCACUCCUUCUCUGGUUAUAUAAUUCAAGUUCUUACUGUUUGAUCCAUUUCUUUC
rnacentral:lncRNA from 1 species